AACUCAACCUGUCAAUAAACAAACAGCGAGUCGAUGUAGAAACCAUUUUAUUAUUAAACACGUUUCCACGAGCAGUAAACGUGUUUACCGAUCAAUCGAUUACCCAUCAAUCAAUCAAUUAACCCAACUAAUAGGUAUGAAUGAUCAGACAUGUUUGCUAUUUAACUCUUUAAGGAUUGUUGGGUGAACAUUCAUUUUUCUCCCCAGGAAGAAGCGUAGUGACAUCACUUCCUGUGGGCGGGUCUUCCUCUACAUACGUUUCCUGUUCUUUCAGUUUUCUUCCGUUUUCUGCAGUGAAAAACUGACCUUAGAUGCUUUAAAGCUAUUUACUGUCAACUAAGUACAUUUACACUAACUUAGUGGUGUACUUGAGUGUACUAGAAUAUUUAUACUUCUCCACCACAUGUCAGAUAUUGUACUUCCUUGUAUAUCCAGAUGUAUGGAUGAUAAACGUCUUUGCACUUCAACUACUUACACAUUAUCUCAUGGUGGAGUAGUUCCACAGUGAAUCAGCAGUACUUUUACUGCAGUAUAGAAUACUCCUAAAGGCAAACGGUCUCGUUGUCACAACUCUAAACUAUUUUUUUCAAGGAAUUUGUUAAAACUCUACUUUGACUUCUUUAAAUAUGCUUCUGAUCUGCAUCAAACCAGAGAGCAACCAACCAAGCAGCUGGUUGGAGUUACUGGUUUGCUCACGUUGCCGACUUUCAUUCAGAACUUUUUAUUUAGUUCUAGUCCAUUUAAACCACCUCGUUUUGUUCAGCUGUUUGUUGAUCUCUGCAAAAAGGGAAAUGAAAAUGAUCUUUAUAUAUUUUCUUUGGCAUAACUUCACAAACAUUAUUCUUUGUCUCAAAGAAAUCUCAAUAAAAAUAAAAAAAGUGUUCCUGAAACCGAACCAAGAAUUAAAGAAUAAACCCUCACCAGAGAGUCAGAGUUCAAAUCCAUUUAGAAAGACCAGUUGAAAAAUCUAAAGUAAAAAAUAUUGUAUAUAAUAUUGUAUAUAUGAUGUAACAGAAUGUUCUUUAAAUAUUUCACAUUCAAGUGGUGACGAGAUGAAUCCAAUUUGACAAUAAAAGGGUUUUGAUAUCUUGAUGAAAGUCAUCAUUUUCUUUAAAUAUAGUCGGCAUAUUUAUUACAAAAAUAAAUUCAUAAUGUUUUAAACACAUGGUCAUACUUUCCCUAAAAGUUAAAUAUUCCUCAAAAUAGUUCUGCUUUAUUCUCUGACUCUCGGGUCCCUGAACAGUCGGAACCUUUGAACCGUCAGGGCUCAAGUCUGUUCUGAUUGGUUCUGAUCCGGGAUUUCAAUCCUGUUUAAUACACGUCGACUUCAUGAGAAGCAGAUGUUAAUUAACACCCAGUUAGAGUCCUACAGAGGGUCCGGUAGAUCCUGUUGAAGGUCCAGUAGAGUCCUACAGAGGGUCCGGUAGGUCCUGUUGAAGGUCCGGUAGAGUUCUACAGAGGUUCCUGCAGGUCUUGUUGAGGACCCGGUAAAGGGUCCGAGAGGUCCACAAAGACACCUAAAAUUGCUGCUGGUCAGAGGUCUGUUGUUCACUUCCCCAGAACACAAUGAGCGGAGGUGCUGUCGAGCAAGGCACGUUUAUCUACAGUUGAUCCUGAAGGAGAGCAGGAAGUCUGGGUCCCUCUCAUCAACUCCUUCAUGUGGUUCUCCAGGCUCCUCAGAGAGGAGACGUUUCCACUCUGUGAGGGUUUGAUGGUUGAUGGGGGUGAAGAGGAGGAGGAGGAGGAGGAGGAGG
ensembl:lncRNA